UUGAAUUAAACUUGGUGUUGAUUGUAGCUGGCCCUUCUGGGCAUGUGCUCGCUUCAUCAUUUUUAUAUUUCCACCUGUGCACUUUUUGUAGACAAGUUGUGAUUGAAAGAUGUAUAUGAGGCCGUUAAAAAGCCAACAUCCAUUGCUCUUUUAUUGCAGUUGUCUAUUCUUUUACAUACCCCAAAAAGUAUCAGAAUGUUUGUUAAUGGGACUUUGUGCCUAUAAUAAAAACUAUA
rnacentral:misc_RNA from 1 species